UGCCUUACACAUGCAAGUCGAACGGCAGCACGGGAGCAAUCCUGGUGGCGAGUGGCGAACGGGUGAGUAAUAUAUCGGAACGUGCCCAGUCGUGGGGGAUAACGUAGAGAAAUUUACGCUAAUACCGCAUACGAUCUACGGAUGAAAGCGGGGGACUCGCAAGGGCCUCGCGCGAUUGGAGCGGCUGAUAUCAGAUUAGGUAGUUGGUGGGGUAAAAGCCUACCAAGCCUACGAUCUGUAGCUGGUUUGAGAGAACGACCAGCCACACUGGGACUGAGACACGGCCCAGACUCCUACGGGAGGCAGCAGUGGGGAAUUUUGGACAAUGGGCGCAAGCCUGAUCCAGCCAUGCCGCGUGCAGGAAGAAGGCCUUCGGGUUGUAAACUGC
rnacentral:rRNA from 1 species